rnacentral:rRNA from 1 species
UACGUAGGGUCCGAGCGUUGUCCGGAAUUAUUGGGCGUAAAGGGCUCGUAGGCGGUCUGUCGCGUCGGGAGUGAAAAACUUACAGCUUAACUGUGAGCGUGCUUUCGAUACGGGCAGACUUGAGGCAUUCAGGGGAGAACGGAAUUCCUGGUGUAGCGGUGAAAUGCGCAGAUAUCGGGAAGAACACCUAUGGCGAAGGCAGCUCUCGUGGGACGGUCACUG